GUCUCUGUGGUGCAACGGUUAGCGCGGCGGUCUCUGAAUCCGUAGACCCGGGUUCGAUUCCCGGCGGAGAACA
rnacentral:tRNA from 1 species